rnacentral:misc_RNA from 1 species
AACGCACCUUGCGCUCGUUGGUAUCCCGACGAGCAUGCCUGUUUGAGUGUCAUUAAAUUCUCAACCUCAUCGCUUUUGUGAUGAUGGCUUGGAAGUGGAGGUUUUUUGCAGGCUGAAAAGUCUGCUCCUCUCAAAUGAAUUAGUGGGUGCCCCGCGCAAACCUAUCUAUUGGUGUGAUAAUUAUCUACGCCGUGGAUCCUUAGGAUUGCUGUAAAAAGGUGUUUGCCCUGCUUCUAACCGUCUUCGGACAACUUGAACCAUUUGACCUCAAAUCAGGUAGGACUACCCGCUGAACUUAA